GACGAACCGUGCGAACGCUGUUCGGAUUCACUGGGCUUAAAGGGCGCGUAGGCGGGCGGUCAAGUCGGGGGUGAAAUCUUUCAGCUUAACUGGAAAAGUGCCUCCGAUACUGAUCGCCUCGAGGGAGGUAGGGGCAUGUGGAACUUCCGGUGGAGCGGUGAAAUGCGUAGAUAUCGGAAGGAACGCCGGUGGCGAAAGCGACGUGCUGGACCUCUUCUGACGCUGAGGCGCGAAAGCUAGGGGAGCAAACGGG
rnacentral:rRNA from 1 species